ACCCAGUAGAUGGUGGUACUACAGCUAUACUGGUUGUAGCCACUGUGGUUCCUGUAACUGAUGGGUUGCCGGUUCAAACUUCCCACAUGUAACCCAGGUGUCCGCCAUGACCCAAUCACCUUCCCUUUAAGUUGAUUGUCAUGUGUGCUUCCGGGUUUUGUUUUUUCUUCCCCACCUUGCUGCUACUCACUGUUGGUUGUUUGUAAAACAACCUGGAGUUUCUGAAUCGACUCAUCACUCAUUUAAUCUCUAAAACUUGAAGAUUGCGGUUGUGAUCCAUUGACAGCUGGUGAACCUUCCUGAUCUGAGCAAGUUAUCAUUGCAUCCACCUCAUCAGAUAAUCCGUUACUCGACGGUCAGGUUUUUCCCCCUUCCCCUUGCAUUGACUCACUUGAUGACGGAAGAUGGCGAGCUACCCACCCACCAUCUGGUGGUAGGAAAACGGAACUACACUUUCCCUACAGAAACGAACUAAACUCUUGAGUAUUGAAAAGGGAACAUAAUUAUUCUCUUUUUGUUCUUGGAUCUAUUGUGGACUCUAUUACGUUUGAAGUAUCACUGAUUAUUAUUAUAAUUGUUUUUGUUGGUUUGUUUGUUUCCCCUUCUGUUUUUGGAAAUUUAUUGUUUUGUUGUUUUGGUAUUAUUAUUAUUAUUAUUAUUAUUAUUAUUAUUAUUGCCACUGCAAUAAAUAGCAAUAAUAACAAACUUUACUUUUUUGUAUCAGUUGUAUUAAUUAUUCACCCCACUCAUGACUCCGUGCCGUACCUACUUCUGAUUAUACAACCUGGUUAACACUACACCUCGCAGUCAGAUCUGCUCAGUUGAGAAAGGCGCUACACACAUCCAUCUCAGUUGUUGAGUCCUUGAGCAAGGCACCAAACCUGCCUUGCCUGCUGUUAGUCAGAAGUCCGAUGGCGCCCAUUGUGUAGCAGCUUCUGUCAGUCUGCCCUAGGGCAGCUGGGCUACAAUGUAGCUUACCACCAUCAACAUGUAAAGCACUUUGGCAUCCUCUGCACUAGAUAAAUCGCUAUACAUACAUUUACCAUUGACUAAACACUUGCAUUUUGUCUUUUUGUUGUGUUUUGUAUUAAACUUGUCCUGUCUGACAGUGUGACACUCAGCAUUGUCGAGUACCAAGGUUAAGCCCUAAAGACUUGCACAAGUGGACCAUUAUG